GGAUGUGAAGGUGCCUUGACUGACAUCUGUCACCUCAUGGAACACUGGAGUUGGUUUGCCUGGCUGACUGGCUAGGUGGCUGUUUCCCUUCUCCCUUACUGCCCCACGAAGGCCUUUCUAGAAGUACUCAAUCAGUCAAGGAAGACAGCCUUCCCCAACACAGCAGGGCCAUUAUUUUGGUCAAGGAUAUAACUGUGCUCCUUGCUAAAAACUUCCAAACAAGCUUUCAAGGAAGUUAAAAAUAUCUACAUGUAGACUUGAGUAAGUCACUUGCAGGGUUUUGAAUUGAAAACUUUACUCAAGUGAGACUGUUCAC
rnacentral:snRNA from 1 species